rnacentral:misc_RNA from 1 species
UGCUAAAUUGAUUACUUGACUGGUAGUGAAUGUUUGACACUGCUUGUAUUCGAAAAGCUAUGAAUGAAGCGCAAGUUUCUUAUUGGCCCAGUAUAUACAGCAGCUAGUUUGCAAUCAGGUAGAGUUCAACCUUAAGACGCUAGCUUGCUAGUGAUCUGAACCAAGGUCUCAAAUCAGGUAGGAAGACCCGCUGAACUUAA